rnacentral:rRNA from 1 species
AUUGAACGCUGGCGGCAGGCCUAACACAUGCAAGUCGAGCGAGCGGCGGACGGGUGAGUAAUGUAUGGGGACUGCCCGAUAGAGGGGGAUAACUACUGGAAACGGUGGCUAAUACCGCAUACUAUCGGAUAACCCAUAUGGGAUUAGCUAGUAGGUGGGGUAAAGGCUGACCUAGGCGACGAUCUCUAGCUGGUCUGAGAGGAAGAUUAGCCACACUGUGACUGAGAAACGGCCGAGACACCAACGGAGGCAGCAGUGGGGAAUAUUGCACAAUGGGAGGAAGAAUGAUACAGACAUGCCGCGUGUAUGAAGAAGGCCUUAGGGUUGUAAAGUACUUUCAGCGGGGAGGCGUUACCCGAAGAAGAAGCACCGGCUAACUCCGUGCCAGCGGACGCGGUAAUAC